rnacentral:rRNA from 1 species
AAGCCGCGUGGGGGAGAGGCUCUUGGGUUGUAAACCCCUUUUCUCUGGGAAGAAAGUUGUGAAAGCAACCUGACGGUACCAGAGGAAUCAGCAUCGGCUAACUCCGUGCCAGCAGCCGCGGUAAGACGGAGGAUGCAAGCGUUAUCCGGAAUGAUUGGGCGUAAAGCGUCCGCAGGUGGCAGUUCAAGUCUGCUGUCAAAGACCGGGGCUUAACUUCGGAAAGGCAGUGGAAACUGAACAGCUAGAGUAUGGUAGGGGCAGAGGGAAUUCCUGGUGUAGCGGUGAAAUGCGUAGAGAUCAGGAAGAACAUCGGUGGCGAAGGCGCUCUGCUGGACCAUAACUGACACUCAGGGACGAAAGCUAGGGGAGCGAAUGGGAUUAGAUACCCCAGUAGUCA